GCCACGUCGUAAUAUGUAACUUGUUACAGGUUUGCUCCAAUACUUACCUGGCGUAGAGGUUAUGUUCCCCACGUGCUUGCAGUGUGCCCAGACACACGCUUCUACAUAUUGAAUUUUAUUUUUUAAAUUUAAGAAUUACAAAUUCCUGGGAAAUUAAAAAUAAAGUGUCCAAAACUGUGGAAUUCGCUCUUAGGAUCAAUGUGUUGUAACUCCUCAACCCAGCAGAAAACGCUGAUAAAGGACUUCCUGUCUGUACAUUAACCCUCUAGGAUCAGUGAGGCAUUCUUAAAUCUCAAGGAUGGGGGAAUAUAUGUAUGUAGAAACCCAACCCCAUCGAUAUGUGGCGUGGCGACGGACAAAUUGGAUUGGAAUGGCUGGGUAAAUAAGUGUAAGCGACUUUUUCUUUAUUUGCAUUAGAACUAACCCAUCAAAUUGCAUUCCAAUUGGUCAAAGACCAUUCAGUAAGCGCUUGGUCAGCGCUUGAGCAUACAAUACAAAUAUUAC
rnacentral:lncRNA from 1 species